rnacentral:rRNA from 1 species
AUUGAACGCUGGCGGCAGGCUUAACACAUGCAAGUCGAACGAGUGGCGGACGGGUGAGUUAUUAUAGGGAAUCUAGCUUAUGGAGGGGGAUAACUACGGGGAACUGUAGCUAAAUCCGGGUACCAAAGGAUGAGCCCAAGUAGGAUUAGGUAGUUGGUGGGGUAAAGGCUCACCAAGCGGACGAUCUCUAGCUGGUCUGAGAGGAUGAACAGCCAGACUGGGACUGAGCCACGGCCCAGACUCCUACGGGAGGCAGCAGUGGGGAAUAUUGGGCAAUGGGGGCAACCUGACGCAGCCAUGCCGCGUGAAUGAAGAAGGCCUUCGGGUUGUAAAGUUCUUUCGGUAGCGAGGCGUUAACUAAAGAAGAAGCACCGGCUAACUCCGUGCCAGCAGCCGCGGUAAUUC